GAUGAACGCUGGCGGCGUGCCUAAUACAUGCAAGUCGAGCGAACAGAUAAGGAGCUUGCUCCUUUGACGUUAGCGGCGGACGGGUGAGUAACACGUGGGUAACCUACUUAUAAGACUGGAAUAACUCCGGGAAACCGGGGCUAAUGCCGGAUAACAUUUAGAACCGCAUGGUUCUAAAGUGAAAGAUGGUUUUGCUAUCACUUAUAGAUGGACCCGCGCCGUAUUAGCUAGUUGGUAAGGUAACGGCUUACCAAGGCAACGAUACGUAGCCGACCUGAGAGGGUGAUCGGCCACACUGGAACUGAGACACGGUCCAGACUCCUACGGGAGGCAGCAGUAGGGAAUCUUCCGCAAUGGGCGAAAGCCUGACGGAGCAACGCCGCGUGAGCGAUGAAGGUCUUCGGAUCGUAAAACUCUGUUAUUAGGGAAGAACAAAUGUGUAAGUAACUGUGCACGUCUUGACGGUACCUAAUCAGAAAGCCACGGCUAACUACGU
rnacentral:rRNA from 1 species